rnacentral:tRNA from 1 species
AGUCCCGAGGUGUUUAGACAUAUUAGAUUGCAAAUCUUAAGAAGCAGGUUACCCCCUGCCGGGGCUU